rnacentral:rRNA from 1 species
GGUCAUUGGGAAACUGGGAAAAACUUGAGUGCAGAAGAAGGAAAAGUGGAAUUCCCCUGUGUAGCCGGUGAAAUUCGCAGAGAUAUGGGAGGAACACCAGUGGCGAAGGCGACUUUUUUGGUCUGUAACUGACGCUGAUGUGCGAAAGCGUGGGGGAUCAAACAGGGAUUAGAUACCCUGGUAGUCCACGCCGUAAACGAUGAGUGCUAAGUGUUAGGGGGUUUCCGCCCCUUAGUGCUGCAGCUAACGCAUUAAGCACUCCGCCUGGGGAGUACGACCGCAAGGUUGAAACUCAAAGGAAUUGACGGGGACCCGCACAAGCGGUGGAGCAUGUGGUUUAAUUUGAAGCAACGCGAAGAACCUUACCAAAUCUUGACAUCCUUUGACCGCUCUAGAGAUAGAGUUUUCCCCUUCGGGGGACAAAGUGACAGGUGGUGCAUGGUUGUCGUCAGCUCGUGUCGUGAGAUGUUGGGUUAAGUCCCGCAACGAGCGCAACCCUUAAGCUUAGUUGCCAUCAUUAAGUUGGGCACUCUAAGUUGACUGCCGGUGACAAACCGGAGGAAGGUGGGGAUGACGUCAAAUCAUCAUGCCCCUUAUGAUUUGGGCUACACACGUGCUACAAUGGACAAUACAAAGGGCAGCUAAACCGCGAGGUCAAGCAAAUCCCAUAAAGUUGUUCUCAGUUCGGAUUGUAGUCUGCAACUCGACUACAUGAAGCUGGAAUCGCUAGUAAUCGUAGAUCAGCAUGCUACGGUGAAUACGUUCCCGGGUCUUGUACACACCGCCC